CCCGGGAGGUGGAGGUUGCCGCGAGCCGAGAUUGUGACACUGCACUCCAGCCUGGGCAACUGAAUGAGACUCCAUCUCAAAAAAAAAGAAAAAAAGGGAAGGAAAACUAUCCACAGUGGUGAACAGACUAUAUGCUUGAGAAGGGACGUGGGCCAUGUUUGGUCCGGAAACCAUGCAGGAAGCGCCCUACCCACCCUUCCGAGGCCAGGGUUACAUCUAGUCCUCUUGGUCGGGGAGCUGGGAUUCUAGAGGAGAAUUCUCAGCCCUGCAUCAACACCCUGACUGCAGCAGGAUUUCUGAAAGAGCCAUCGGGGGAAUGACUUGCUGACUUGUAUUGUGCAUCCGUGCAUGAAGCAUCCUUGAGAAAGGAGCUGGUCUGGAGUGUUUCUGGGCGAUGAUGGGUCACCAGAUAAGGAGCCAGAAGAUCACAGAGACACAUCGCCUUGUGCCCGAUGUGCUGCCAUUGAAUUGUAGGGGUGAUGUGAAUUGAAGAGUCCAUCUCACAGAGGAAGAAACUGAGGCCAAGAGAGCUAGGGAGACCCUGCUUUGAACUCUCAGGCUCGAGCCUGCUCAAUGAACUCCCUAUUCAGGGCUUCCCUUCAAGCUGCUUCUAGAAGAUCAGAUGUGUUUGGAGACUCUCCUGAUGGCCCUCAAACUCGCUCCCUUUUUCUCCUGCUGGAGAAGCCUGGUAAUAAGGCCUGUGUUACUUCCCUUAGAGAAGACAUCAGAAACUUACCCUGGAAGACCACUGAUCUCACAGAGCAAAGCCAGCCAAACGUCAGACUCCAUAAAGACGUCAGCAUAUUAAGGAGAACUGCCUGGGCCUGUGGCACUCACACACACCAGCCUUGUUAGCAGAUGGGUUUAUGUUCUCCCUCCCAUGCCCCAGAUUGCAACCUACAUGGCAGAUACCAGUGGGGGACUGGGGUCAGGCCUGAGGACGGUGUUGCGCAUGCCUGACGUGUGUUGUGUGUUGCUUUGUGGACUAGGAGACAGGGCUCCUGGGGGUAGGUCAGUCCAUUCAUCCUUGUUUCCCUACUGUGCCUAGAAUUGAGCUGUGUCCCCAGAGGGUGCCUACAACAUGCCUGGGGAAUGAGUCCUAUGCCGAUAAUGGAAAUUCUUAACCCACUGCUGCACCCGGCUGACUUUCCAGCCUCUGCAAGAAUGAGUCAGCCACCUGCAGGAGAGCCUCAGGGAAGAGCCUAGCGCUUCCAAUCCAGAUAAGCUUUGGCUACCUGGGCCUGUGACAAGUGACAAUAAAAGGAAAGCCUGAGCAGACCUGUGUUUAUAAGCAUGAGGGAGGGGGCUUCACUCAGAGGUGUGCUAAUUAAAAGCUGAGAACCUGCAAAAGAACUUAUGUUUAAACCACACCUCCUCUCUCCAUCCACCCUGCCUUAUCCUGCUGGUUGCUUUUGUUGCAAUAAAAAGCCAAUUUUAUUUCCCCCACGGAGCCUUUGUUAAUGCAUUUCUAACCAGAACCUAAAGUUAGGGAAUGUGAAGGGGAAGCGUGGCCCUCAUGCAAGUGCGUGCACACAUAUGGACGCUCAUACGUAAGACCAAACACUUCCUGGUUCCUCUCUGUGUCCCCCCAACCCCCACCAAAAACAGCAUUUCUUGAGAGAUGGACCCUUAACCUCAGUGUAUCCAAGGCCCAAAGGGCCUAAUGAAAACCAGAGCCACCACCAAAGCGUUUCUGAUGCCAAACCGGCCCCCGGAGUCCUUUAGCAUCAGGGCCCUGGGCUGCAAGUGAGCUCAGUUCUAAACAAAUCUGGGGCCCAUUAUCUCCCUGGCCUGAUUUUGUCUCCUGUGGCUGCCCUAUUAGUCCUUUCCUGGCAUGAUGACAUGUUCUGUCGGGUCCUUCUCCUUUGUCCAAUUUCCAGGGCAGCGUUUAGGCAGCUCGAAGUAGAGUGCUGGGAACCGACCCCUGGGCACCUGAGGGUUUGCAGGUGAAAUCACCCACAAGAGGUGGCAGGAAGUAGGAUGGUGUUGACCUGGCAAGCUCUGGUGGAAGCCCUUGAGAAAACAGUAUUGCAUUAUUGUCACCAUUAAUAAUGGCCCUUUAUUUGAGCUUUGCUAGGACAAUGCUCUAAACAAAGCUGAGAGGAAGAAACAAUCCCUGCUUGUAAUGUGGGGCCUUGUAAUUUAUCAAGGCUAAUGGAGGAAGAAAAAUCCACUGGGGAAAGAUUGUGGGGGUGGGCUGGAGAUAGAUUUGAUUGUAGCUGGAGGUGUAAUUGGACGAUACCCACAGCCUAGCUAUGCAUCCCCAUUUGCUUUGUUGCAACAGGACUGUGUUUCUAGCCCCUCCUUUGUCUUGUCUAGUUCCACUGGAUCUGAGUCCCGUGAAGGCAGAUUGAGGUCUAAGUCCUGGAUCUGAUGUAGCAGCAUGACCUCAAGCAGGUUCCUUUACUUCUGAGCCUCAGGUUCCUCAUUUGCAGGGGAGGUACCCAGAUUGGAAAUCAUGAGAGUCCAAGCCCCUUAAAUUGCUAAAGGAAUAAUAGUUGCCAAAAAUAGAUGACAGAAGUAUUGAGGAACGAGGACUUGCUAGAAGUGUCUUUGCGUUCCUUAGAGGAUCCAAAUCCCAUGCUUGGACCUAACUGAGGCCACCAUUUACUGAGAGUACCAGGCAUCAAACCAGUUGCAUCUCUGGAUGUCAUUUACUUCUCUAUCAAAGAACUGUGGCAAGAAUGAUUGCCUCCCGCCUUUUCCACAUGAGGAUGUGAGUCAGUGUUGUUUUCUUGUUGGGUGCCGGACUCACUGUACCAGGGGUAUGGCGGCAUUUCAGGGCUGGAAGUCCUCUGUGAAAAUCAGCACCCCACCCUGCCAAGUCGGAGGUCCUGCCGUCCUCCAGAAGUGCUGGCAGCCAGGAGCUGCAGCUGUGUUGCAACAAGUCUGAUUUAAUUUGGGGGGUGGUACAGAGACACCACUGUGAUGUUUGUUAAAAGCCAGAAGAAUACAGCUUAUUCACCAAACUGUGAAACUGGCUAUGCCUUGGGUGGGGGAAGCCAGAGGAAAAUGUGUGAUAGCGUUUUUUAAAAGAGUAAAAAUGGUGAUAAUUAUAAAUUUACUAUAAUGCCCAUUAUUGCAUGAGGUCUAAGUGGAUUAACUCACUGCAGCUAAGUCAGCAUCAGGUUUUCUUAAGGCCUCUUCCCUUCCGGGGUUUAUAAUUCUGUGUUCUUAUCUCUCUAUUAAUUUAUAAAGUGAGAAGCCAAUCAUUGUCUUUCGUAAUCCUUGUUAUCACCCCCUUGGUUCCUCAGAAGUAAAAAUCAGGCCAAAAAAAAAAAAAAAAGUAGUUUUUUAUA